rnacentral:sRNA from 14 species
CUUGCUGCCUAAUUUACGGAAUGUAAAUUAAGCUUUAUCUAGUGGAAUAAUAGUACACAGACGAGUUCCUUCUCCCUCAAUUCCGCCUGAUAAUUAAGGGACUCAGAAGGACCAAUUCUUUCAGGAUAGCGAUUGUGAUACUCCUAAGCAGUUGUGAAACUCAGGAGAUAAGCGUAUUACUUGGGUGUCUUUGUCCGAUGGUACGUCGAAAAUUGAAUCAAAGAAUAAGCAUGUAGAAAGCCAGGUAAUUCGUCGUUUGGAC